ACGACAAUUCAAUUUUCACUCUCAAACAAGUGACAAGUGCAUUUCAAAACUCUACAAAAAUGUUCAAAAUCUUCUUCUUGUUGUUCGCCGCCUUGGUUGCCUUGGCCACCGCUGUUCCAGCUCCAGCCCCAGUGGCUCGUCCUGAACCUGUGCCAGCACCACAAUU